rnacentral:rRNA from 1 species
UCUGACACAGGUGCUGCAUGGCUGUCGUCAGCUCGUGUCGUGAGAUGUUGGGUUAAGUCCCGUAACGAGCGCAACCCUUGUCCUUAGUUACCAGCACGUUAUGGUGGGCACUCUAAGGAGACUGCCGGUGACAACCGGAGGAAGGUGGGGAGUGACGUCAAGUCAUCAUGGCCCUUACGGCCUGGGCUACACACGUGCUACAAUGGUCGGUACAAAGGGUUGCCAAGCCGCGAGGUGGAGCUAAUCCCAUAAAACCGAUCGUAGUCCGGAUCGCAGUCUGCAACUCGACUGCGUGAAGUCGGAAUCGCUAGUAAUCGUGAAUCAGAAUGUCACGGUGAAUACGUUCCCGGGCCUU